rnacentral:lncRNA from 1 species
AGCCGCGCUCGGGCCGCCUACCCCGCGGCCUCGCGACCCGGCCACCCCGGCUGGCGCGCGCCUGGGCGCCCCGCUCCUCGCCCGCCCGUGCGGAGCUGCCUUCCUCCCCCUGCGCUCCGGCCCUCGCCUCGCGGGCAGGGCUCCCGUCGGUGCCGGGGGCCGUGGGUGCCGCGUCACGAGGAGCCCGGCAGAGCCGGAGCGCACGGGCCCCGGGGCUCCCGGCCCCUCCACCCUAGUCCCGAGCCGCCAAGGCGGAGCGUACCCUCCAGCUCGCGGGCCUGCCCCCCACUCCCGGGGCCCCAGACCCGGCUCCGCCCUGGCGGCUGCGCCCGCCCUGCCGGGACCCGGUUUGUCUGGUUCUCCCCGCGUGGCUAGUUUCUCGAAUUUCUUCUCCCUUUCUCCCUCUUCCCCGACCUCCGGGACCCUCCCUUUCGCCCCGGCUCCCCGGGCCCCCACGGGGGGCGUCUCGACGCUGUGCGGCCGCCGAGUUUCGGUUGUUCCAGAAGAAACCUGGGAAACAAAAGACUAUGUUUGGAACACGAUGUGGAGAAAGCCAGAACUUAUUCAAACACUUCAGCAGCUGCAAAUUUCAAGAGCCUACUGUACUGAAGGCUGUUCUGCAGUUACAUUCCCCUCUGGGAGACAGUAAACUGGCCUUUCAGUUUGUACAUCAGCAUCUGGUGAUCUUGGUUAAUGUGAAUCAGUCCCCCUAGACCUGACCACUCCUGCACAAACUAAUAAACCUACAAAGCUAAAAUCCAGG